rnacentral:rRNA from 1 species
AUUGAACGCUGGCGGCAGGCUUAACACAUGCAAGUCGAACGAGUGGCGGACGGGUGAGUAAUGCUUGGGAAUCUGGCUUAUGGAGGGGGAUAACUACGGGAAACUGUAGCUAAUACCGCGUACCAUAGGAUGAGCCCAAGUGGGAUUAGGUAGUUGGUGGGGUAAAGGCUCACCAAGCCGACGAUCUCUAGCUGGUCUGAGAGGAUGACCAGCCAAACUGGGACUGGACACACGCCCGGACUCCUACGGGAGGCAGCAGUGGGGAAAUGUCCGCAAUGGGGGAAAGGUGACGGAGGCACGGCGGGGGGUUGAUGACGGCCUUCGGGUUGUAAAGCUCUGUUAAUCGGGAGACGGUACCGGAAUAGAAAGCCACGGCUAACUACGUGCCAGCAGCCGCGGUAAUUC